UUCCUACGGGGGGCAGCAGUGGGGAAUAUUGCGCAAUGGGCGAAAGCCUGACGCGGCGACGCCGCGUGAGGGAUGAAGGUCUUCGGAUCGUAAACCAAAAAAAAAAAAAAAGAACGGUCACUGUGCUAAUCAGCAGUGAAUUGACGGUACCUGCAAAGGAAGCACCGGCUAACUCCGUGCCAGCAGCCGCGGUAAUACGGAGGGUGCGAGCGUUAAUCGGAAUUACUGGGCGUAAAGCGCUCGUAGGCGGUAUGUCAAGUCAAGGGUGAAAUCCCCGCGCUCAACGUGGGAACUGCCUUUGAAAC
rnacentral:rRNA from 1 species